rnacentral:rRNA from 1 species
GGGGAAUAUUGCACAAUGGAGGAAACUCUGAUGCAGCAACGCCGCGUGAGUGAUGAAGGUCUUCGGAUUGUAAAACUCUGUCUUAUGGGACGAUAAUGACGGUACCAUAGGAGGAAGCCACGGCUAACUACGUGCCAGCAGCCGCGGUAAUACGUAGGUGGCAAGCGUUGUCCGGAUUUACUGGGCGUAAAGGAUGUGUAGGCGGAUAUUUAAGUGAGAUGUGAAAUCCCCGGGCUUAACUUGGGGGCUGCAUUUCAAACUGGAUAUCUAGAGUGCAGGAGAGGAGAAUGGAAUUCCUAGUGUAGCGGUGAAAUGCGUAGAGAUUAGGAAGAAUACCAGUGGCGAAGGCGGCUUUCUGGACUGUAACUGACGCUGAGGCAUGAAAGCGUGGGGAGCAAAC